CCCGGCUCCGGGCCAGCAGACCCAGCCUUCCUCAGACGGUUGUGGCAGGAAUCCAGGUCCCUCAGCAGCCGGUCCUUCUCCACCAUCCAGCUCUUCUCAUGACCCCGUGUGUCAAACUUAAGCUAGACUCUACCUGCUCUUUGGCCAGACGAGCCUGUUCCUCCAUCUGAGCCUGCAGCGCCUCCACCUGGAAAUGUGAGGCACAAGAGGCUCUCUCCAUUUACCCCAUCGGCUGAUUUUGUUCUCCUGCUACUCUCUACUUAGACAGACAUGAAAUUUAAGUGCCACACUCAGGAGAAGAAACAG